AGAAGGCAGCUUUUGAGGAUCCAAUAUAGAUAUGAAACUUGGUCUUCUUAAAUUUUCAGUAUUGUCAUGCUCAUAUCUUUGUUUAGAACUUUUAGGUUUUAUUGAAUUUGAAGAUUCUUUGUUCAAGUUCUUUGGUGGCUAGUGGGAGGAUGCAAAAAAAUGAUGAGUGAUGACAAAUGGCAGAAUGUUGGGUUGCAAAUUUAGGGGUUGACUCUCACCAGAAAAGGAUGCA
rnacentral:misc_RNA from 1 species